UACGUAGGGGGCUAGCGUUGUCCGGAAUCAUUGGGCGUAAAGCGCGUGUAGGCGGCCAGGUAGGUCCGACGUGAAAACUGGAGGCUCAACCUCCAGCUGUCGUUGGAAACCAUCUGGCUAGAGUCCGGAAGAGGAGAGUGGAAUUCCAGGUGUAGCAGUGAAAUGCGUAGAGAUCGGGAGGAACACCGGUGGCGAAGGCGGGUCUCUGGGCAUUCCCUGACGCUGAGGCGCGAAAGCGUGGGGAGCAAACGGG
rnacentral:rRNA from 1 species